UGGGGAAUAUUGCGCAAUGGGGGAAACCCUGACGCAGCAACGCCGCGUGAAGGAUGAAGGUUUUCGGAUCGUAAACUUCUUUGAUGAGGGACGAACAAAAUGACGGUACCUCAAAAACAAGCCACGGCUAACUACGUGCCAGCAGCCGCGGUAAUACGUAGGUGGCGAGCGUUGUCCGGAAUUACUGGGUGUAAAGGGCGUGUAGGCGGGGAUGUAAGUCAGAUGUGAAAUUCCAUGGCUCAACUGUGGGGCUGCAUCUGAAACUAUGUCUCUUGAGUGCCGGAGAGGGAAGCGGAAUUCCUAGUGUCGCGGUGAAAUGCGUAGAUAUUAGGAGGAACACCAGUGGCGAAGGCGGCUUUCUGGACGGUAACUGACGCUGAGGCGCGAAAGCGUGGGGAGCAAACA
rnacentral:rRNA from 1 species